AACUUUCAACAACGGAUCUCUUGGUUCUGGCAUCGAUGAAGAACGCAGCGAAAUGCGAUAAGUAAUGUGAAUUGCAGAAUUCAGUGAAUCAUCGAAUCUUUGAACGCACAUUGCGCCCUGUGGUAUUCCGCAGGGCAUGCCUGUUCGAGCGUCAGUACAACACUCAAGCUCAGCUUGGUCUUGGAUCCAGCGGGAAACCGCGGG
rnacentral:rRNA from 1 species